UGGGGAAUAUUGCACAAUGGGCGAAAGCCUGAUGCAGCAACGCCGCGUGAGUGAUGAAGGUCUUCGGAUUGUAGAGCUCUGUCUUUUGGGACGAUAAUGACGGUACCAAAGGAGGAAGCCACGGCUAACUACGUGCCAGCAGCCGCGGUAAUACGUAGGUGGCGAGCGUUGUCCGGAUUUACUGGGCGUAAAGGGUGCGUAGGCGGAUGUUUAAGUGAGAUGUGAAAUACCCGGGCUUAACUUGGGUGCUGCAUUUCAAACUGGAUAUCUAGAGUGCAGGAGAGGAGAAUGGAAUUCCUAGUGUAGCGGUGAAAUGCGUAGAGAUUAGGAAGAACACCAGUGGCGAAGGCGAUUCUCUGGACUGUAACUGACGCUGAGGCACGAAAGCGUGGGUAGCAAACAGGAUUAGAUACCCUGGUAGUCCACGCCGUAAACGAUGAGUACUAGGUGUAGGAGGUAUCGACCCCUUCUGUGCCGCAGUAAACACAUUAAGUACUCCGCCUGGGAAGUACGAUCGCAAGAUUAAAACUCUAAAGUGAAUUGAC
rnacentral:rRNA from 1 species